UACACAACUAUCUUACCUUUGUGGCCUGGAAAAUCAAUAUUUCCUCACUGAUGCAGCAUAUUACUCAUAUCUGCCAGGGUGGGGAGAAGACGGAAAAAAUAACUGAAGAAAGAGAGCUGAAGACUUCAUGAAGAGGAGAAACAGGGAAGACAAACUGAUUCUUGUUUAAUUACACUUAAAAUUGAGUUUCUUAUAUAAUGAAAAAAAAUCUACAACUGUUUCAACAGAUUCUAAAAAAAGUUAUUUUCCCCAAACUAAAGUUAUCUUUUAUCAUGAACUCUAUUUUGCAGAUGAAGCACAAUCAAAAUGAUUGGUUUUUGAACUCUCCUAAAAACGUUCCAAGGUAGCUUUUCUGUGAAUCAAAACCUCUUUACUUAAGGUACAGUCCAUUAAUGUAAGAGGCCUAGAGACAGGAUAGUUCAUCUCGCUGGACUGUCUGGAUCUCCUUGCUUCAAAAGGAUUUAACCUGUGGUUCCAAACAUGGUGGUCCAUAAGAAAUUCAACCUUAAAUAUCAUUGAGCCAACACUGAAGCCAGGAAUUCCCAUAUUAUUAGUCUUUAUUUUUAUGUGACUGAAAUUAUUCAGAGAAAAUAGAUGACAAGGAAGAAGUAAGGAAUUAGUUAAGCGUGCACAUAUGCAACAGUGUUGCUAGAAACUACUAAGAGAUUUGUAUUGUCAGUGUUAGCCUGUUUUAAGAAAAAUUAAUAUUCAGAAGAGAGAUAAGGAAGAUAAAAUGUAAAACCAAUGCAAUUUAUACUGCCGUUAAAGAAAUAUGGAUUUAUUUAAUGGUUAGCAUGAUGGGUAUAAUUACCAUAAAUGUGCCUAUAUAGAAUAAUUCUGGAAUGAUACUUGUGAUAACAUUUACAGUGUCUAUUUACAAAUCACCUGUUCACCAACUUGUUAAUCCAGAACACAUUCUCAUGAGUUUUCAUCAGCUUAAAAAACCCACCAUAAUUAAUUUUAAGCAAACUUGCUGCAAAAAUUCUUCUUUCCUACCAGAGGAGAGAGGAGUGACAGUUUUCCUACAGGAUGCAGCACCAAUUACUGACCUUGGAAGAGCAAUAUAAUCAGUACAGAGCUUCUACAGAGCUACUAUAGAGCUAGCGUAACUGGUUUCCUACAGAAAAGCUAUUCCAUAUCUGAUUAGAAGUUGGUAUUCUUUUAGGAUUGCUUUUUGCACACAAAUAUCCUCAGCAGCAUUCAUUGUUACCCUUUUUGGAUCCAAGAACCUUACCAAAGGCAGUCCAAAACCAUCAUCAGUGCAUAGGCAAAAUACUGAUCAAAUACCUUAUUUUAGGCAACUUCAUAGCUGGCUUUUUCUGCCAACUUCACGUUCAACUCUUUGCCCUCAGUGUGGCCAGAAGCAGCUCUGCAGGAGCUUGUGAGCAAAGGACUGACGGUUACGACCUGCAGCUGUCCGUGUCCUCACACGACAUGGCUACAUUUUCAUUCCUCUCCGUUUAUUUUGACCAGUGCAAGAUUCAUAUGAGGGCAUCAGCUGUCAAAACAGACUCAGGCUAAGAGGCUGCAGCAUAGCUUAAAGUGAGCGUUAAGGAGACUGUCCAGGAGCAAAGUGGUCCAAAUCAGGGAAGAAGAAAAGUGCCUUAACACCACCUUGUUGUCUUUCCUCCUCCAUGUGAAACACCGUGCCAAGUGUUCCUCAGUCAGAAUUCAGGAGCUCACCCAUGGUAACCAAGGAAGAGAAAUACAAAUGAAAAGUCACAAUAAAAUGUUUAAAAAUAACUCUAAAACAUUCCUAACCAUUUCUGGAACACAGCAUAUACAAAAUAGGUUUUGGUGUUACAAAGGUUUUCUAUUGGUACUUGCAUAAUACUCCAAAACUUAGUCACGCAAUACAUUGACGUGCAUUGCUCUGUUUGAUAUAACUAUUUGAAAAAUUAUGCAACCAAAUACAGAGAAAGCUUCUUUGUAUGGUGUAAUGCAAUAUUUAACCACUAACAAAUUUGGGAUUGUAUCAAAGUUAGACUGAACGGAGGUUGUUUACUAAGCUUCUCUUUAAAUGUAGUAGGAAGUCAUAACAAUAUACUUCUAAGACUUAAUUGCCACUGAAUUAUACCAGUUAUGUGUUGAUUUCACCAGCAUAAAUAUGGUAUAAUCCAGUUGUGAAGCAGAUCAAUUCAGAAAAUGUUACAGUAAGACACCUCGAAUAGACGAUGUGCAGAUUUAAAUUACGGAGUAUCUAAAAUAAAAUUCAAUAUAUAUUUGUUAAAGAAAAGAUUACUUAUUGUGUCUUUACGUCUUUCAGGCAGUUAUUACUUCCAGUAAUUAUUAUUUAAUACUUAUAUUGCAAUGAUGUCCAGAAGUCCCAAUUCAAAUCAAGUUAAAACCCACUGUUCAAGUCACUACCUGAGCGUUUAAUGAGCAGAAGCGCUUACCCUGAAGGCCUUUCAGUCUAGCUCUUGGAAAAGUGGAAAUGCAUGAACGCAACAAACAACAGUGGUAAGAAUAGUGAAAAGCGGCAAUCAAACCCUGUUGCUUUGAUAAACUAUGUAUACAUUGUUCAGACCAUUGAACUUUUGAAAGGGACAGACAGAGAGGUGGCUGUUUCACCAACUGUUCUUUCAGGUUAGCUGCAUGUUGUUGCAGUAUUUACUAGUGUUUCUGUUCAAAUAUAAAAAUAGAUAUUUGAGUGAGAGGAUUUGGGGCUUGGUGUCUACUGUGAAAUCAUGCAUAAAGAAUUUCUUUAAACCUUCAGUGGGAUCAGUUGCACAGUCUCACUUGAAAGACUCCUUAUGUAACUCUAUAUUUUGUACUUUGUGCACUUAAUCUGUAAUUAUUUGGUAACUGGGAUACCAGCUCUGGGAAUUAAUGUUGCUGGGGAAUCUGUUGAAGCUGUAAUCUAAAUACUGUCUUGGUAUUUAUAGCACUUUUAAAUCCCUGGGAUAACUGCUGGUAUUUUCUUAAUUUGCAUAGAUAGUUGUAUCUUGUAUAUGUAAAAUGUCUUCAGGAGCUGUGGUCUAGCUAGCUAUAGUUUCAGCAGCCUUUGGCUAGGUAUUUAUUUUUGAUGGCUAAAACUGUAAGUGAAAUAGUAGUAUCUUCCAUUGAAACUAACGUUACAACUAUGGUAGAUUCACUAUGGGAGCAACAGUUGCUAUACAUUUCCCACACCCAUCUAUUCCCCAGCUGCAUUAAUGAAUGUAUUGGGCAAUUUGCAGCAAACAUUGCCAAAGAACAUUUUCACAUUAAAAAAGUUACGAUAAUUCACGCAUAAAAGAGGUGCCUUGAAGAGUUUGCGUUGGAGGACGUCAGUUACAGAGAACCGUUCAUAUUAAUUAUGAUAAGGAUACAUUACAGGCUAUUAGACAGGAAUGAUAAAUUGUUCGUAUGGGAUUAAAAAUUUAGUAAUUUUAUUAUAGCACCAGUGUAGUGCACUACAGUGAGAAAUUCUGAAUCUGUUGUCAGUGGGGGUGAAGUUCUCAUGCUUGGCCUUAGUCCAAAGCUGACUCAUUUGAAGAAAAUGGCUUAUCUGAACAAGAAGAAAUGGAAGUGAUUUAAUGUUUUGGGAAGUACAUAUACAUAUAUAAUUUUAAUUUGUAAAAACUCUGAUGGUUAUAUUUAAUUUAGUUUAAUUAUUUAAGUGUAGGCAUAGAUGUAGUCCCCAAAGAGGACUGUAUGCUCUGUAAAGACGGAGAGAGGAUUUGUAGAAAAGUAAAGAAACAAUAAGCAAAUAUUAUUACUCUAGUAGAAACGCAUGCUUAUUUUCUGUAUCUGGAAACAAAUUGGAUAUUCGAACAUAAUAAUUCCCAUACACAGGCAAGAAAUUUUAAAUAAAUAGCAGUAUUGUUAAA